rnacentral:rRNA from 1 species
UACGAACCGGACAAACGUUAUUCGGAAUUAUUGGGCUUAAAGGGUGCGUAGGCGGCGCGGUAAGUGAGGUGUGAAAGCCCACGGCUCAACCAUGGAACUGCGCUUCAUACUGCCGUGCUUGAGGGAGACAGAGGUAAGCGGAACUGAUGGUGGAGCGGUGAAAUGCGUUGAUAUCAUCAGGAACACAGGUCGCGAAAGCGGCUUACUGGGUCUCUUCUGACGCUGAGGCACGAAAGCUAGGGUAGCGAACGGG